rnacentral:rRNA from 1 species
GACGAACGCUGGCGGCGUGCCUAAUACAUGCAAGUCGAGCGGACGAUUCGAAAGCUUGCUUUUGAAUCGUUAGCGGCGGACGGGUGAGUAACACGUGGGCAACCUGCCCUGUAGACGGGGAUAACACCGAGAAAUCGGUGCUAAUACCGGAUAACACGAAAUGUCGCAUGACGUUUCGUUGAAAGGCGGCGCAAGCUGCCGCUACAGGAUGGGCCCGCGGCGCAUUAGCUAGUUGGUGAGGUAACGGCUCACCAAGGCGACGAUGCGUAGCCGACCUGAGAGGGUGAUCGGCCACACUGGGACUGAGACACGGCCCAGACUCCUACGGGAGGCAGCAGUAGGGAAUCUUCCGCAAUGGACGAAAGUCUGACGGAGCAACGCCGCGUGAGCGAAGAAGGCCUUCGGGUCGUAAAGCUCUGCUGUUAGGGAAGAACAAGUAACGUAGUAACUGACGUUACUAUGACGGUACCUAACGAGAAAGCCACGGCUAACUACGUG